rnacentral:lncRNA from 1 species
CUCACCCUUUUGUCCCGAUUGGAGUUACCAACCAGGACAAAAGGUUUACUCCCGGUAGGUAAUUCCAACCGGGACAAUUCAAACAAGGAGUAAACUGCCAACCAGGAUAAAAGGGGUUGUAUUUUGUCCCGGUUGGAAUUUCCAACCAGGACAAAAUUCCAACCGAGACAAAAUCUCCUUCCUUAUAAAAUCGCCCAGAUAGAGAGCUCUUCUUCC